rnacentral:rRNA from 1 species
GAUGAACGCUGGCGGCGUGCCUAAUACAUGCAAGUUGAGCGAACAGACGAGGAGCUUGCUCCUUUGACGUUAGCGGCGGACGGGUGAGUAACACGUGGGUAACCUACCUAUAAGACUGGGAUAACUUCGGGAAACCGGAGCUAAUACCGGAUAAUAUUUCGAACCGCAUGGUUCGAUAGUGAAAGAUGGCUUUGCUAUCACUUAUAGAUGGACCUGCGCCGUAUUAGCUAGUUGGUAAGGUAACGGCUUACCAAGGCAACGAUACGUAGCCGACCUGAGAGGGUGAUCGGCCACACUGGAACUGAGACACGGUCCAGACUCCUACGGGAGGCAGCAGUAGGGAAUCUUCCGCAAUGGGCGAAAGCCUGACGGAGCAACGCCGCGUGAGUGAUGAAGGUCUUCGGAUCGUAAAACUCUGUUAUUAGGGAAGAACAAACGUGUAAGUAACUGUGCACGUCUUGACGGUACCUAAUCAGAAAGCCACGGCUAACUACGUG